CGGGCGCUGGCGGUGCGUCACUUCCGGGAGCUCAGCCAAACGUGUCCUGCGUCCCCUAGGGCGCUUCCCGCGUCCCACAGCGCACCCAGCCGGCCUGGAGCCUCAUGAAGUGCAUGGGGAAACCAAGGCACAGCAAGGCUCAAAAGCAGCCCAUGGUUGUGCAGCUAACAGGCAGCAGAGGUGAACUUUGAACCCAGGCAGCCUGGCUCCAGCAAACCUGCUUCUAACCACUAGCUGUAGUGCUUCUCACGCAUCUGGGAUGCCCCCAACUCGCCAGUCCUUUUAAACAAGUCCUAUUAUUCUUACACGAAAAUACCUCCCAUAGAUUCCCAACAUUCUAAUAUUGAAAAUCAUUCUGAGUCAUGCGUUUCUCAUCUAUUAUAUUAACUAUGCUUCCAUUUUUGUGUCACAGCAAGGCAGAUAAGCAUACCUCCUACAGCUUUGUGGCACUUCUAAAGGAAGCUUCUAGGGUAAUUAGGAUUAGCUGGCUAUCAUCAUUUGCUAAACCGCAGACAAUUCUGGCCACCAUUUCCAACAUUAGCAAAGCUAUGUUGGUACUUAUUGUCCUUUUUUUUAAGAAUCUCAUGUGUUUCCUCAACCUCUCCCACUUUCUCUCACUCUGACAUGCCCAGUUCCUCUUCCUUUUUCUUUUAAUCUGGUAUUUACAUAAGUCCAGUCAAUACUUUGCUUCAGAUGGGCAAACGUCCUUUCUUUAAUUCUUUUCUUUUUUUUUUUUUUU